rnacentral:rRNA from 1 species
GAUGAACGCUGGCGGCGUGCCUAAUACAUGCAAGUCGAGCGAACGGACGAGAAGCUUGCUUCUCUGAUGUUAGCGGCGGACGGGUGAGUAACACGUGGAUAACCUACCUAUAAGACUGGGAUAACUUCGGGAAACCGGAGCUAAUACCGGAUAAUAUUUUGAACCGCAUGGUUCAAAAGUGAAAGACGGUCUUGCUGUCACUUAUAGAUGGAUCCGCGCUGCAUUAGCUAGUUGGUAAGGUAACGGCUUACCAAGGCAACGAUGCAUAGCCGACCUGAGAGGGUGAUCGGCCACACUGGAACUGAGACACGGUCCAGACUCCUGCGGGAGGCAGCAGUAGGGAAUCUUCCGCAAUGGGCGAAAGCCGGACGGAGCAACGCCGCGGGAGUGAUGAAGGUCUUCGGAUCGUAAAACUCUGUUAUUAGGGAAGAACAUAUGUGUAAGUAACUGUGCACAUCUUGACGGUACCUAAUCAGAAAGCCACGGCUAACUACGUG